UACGCGAGAGCGAGCGUAUAAAGGCGUCACACGAUGCGGCGACCGCGUGCGAUGUAGUCGUGACAGACACCUGAGCUGUGCUGCGAAGCGGACUUUGGCUUCUGUACUGAGACAGGUAUGUGUUCUGCAAAACCGUACCGGUAAUGGCCACCACGUACAUCUGAGACAUCUACUGUGAAUGAAGAAAUGGCAUCGAGGAACAGAGUAUCGCCACCCGACGUGAAAAACACGUCUCGAUUGACUUAACCACUGUUUGGCACCGAUGGACGCCGUAGUCAGGAACUCCAGAGGAAUUUGGGAACGUGGUCUUCAACACACACCCGACGACGAAAGUUAUCGCAGCCCGGCAUACGGGAGACAACUAGAAGUUCAUCAAAGUCCGCCCAAGAAAUGAGAAGACUAAACAAACGGAGGAUUACAACGUGGAGAUCUUUUCGGAAUCGCCUUUACUUUUGCACGCUUUGCCUCCGUAGCUUUCCCUUCAUAGCCACAGAAACUAGUCCGCGAGUAUAAAGCAAAGUUCAACGCUAAGGCAGUCAUGCUGCAAAAAUAUUAAAGUGAGAGUCCAUACACAGCUUCUGCUACAACCACGAACUUUACUGAGCAAUUCUCUAAGGACGUCUGGUAAUUAAAUGUUAAUCCUUGCCGCCACCAGAAUCCGCUAUACUGAACAUUGGCAUUUGCUCCAAUGAGAUCUAACAGAGGAAUCAUAUGAGCUUUUGCAACAACUAUGAUCUCCUCUACUGAACAGUGGCACUUGCAAAGUACGUCUGGUAGAGGCUUCACGUGCCAUUUACACAACUCCGAUGACCUUCAGUCAGCAUAAGUAGCUCAUUGAAGCAUUCAAGAACAUUCAGCAGAGCUAGAUAUUCAUAUAGAAUUCGUCACAACAAUGGUCUCCUCAACUAAAUAAUGGUAUUUGCCAAGGACAUCCGGCAGCAAUCUUAUAUGUCAUUUCCACAACGACGAUUUUCUUCAAUGAGCAUUAGCAUUAGCAUUCUCUGCCCGACGUCCAACAAGCAAUGAGCCUCUCCGAGGAACGAGCAGUGAGUCCAACGAGCCUCUCCUACAACCAUAACCUCCCCUGCAGUUGCACAAGGGCAUCCGACAGAAAGCUCGUAUGUUAUUGUCAAAACCAUGGACUCCUUUAGUGAGCAUUGGUAACUACUCCUUGGACUUCUAGCAGAAGUUUCUCAUAGCCUUUGCCACGCCCACGGUAUUCUUUACUGAACCCUGGUGUUUGCCAAGGUUAUCCGG